rnacentral:rRNA from 1 species
CCUACGGGAGGCAGCAGUGGGGAAUUUUGGACAAUGGGCGCAAGCCUGAUCCAGCAAUGCCGCGUGAGUGAAGAAGGCCUUCGGGUUGUAAAGCUCUUUUGUCAGGGAAGAAACGGUGGGAGCUAAUAUCUCCUACUAAUGACGGUACCUGAAGAAUAAGCACCGGCUAACUACGUGCCAGCAGCCGCGGUAAUACGUAGGGUGCAAGCGUUAAUCGGAAUUACUGGGCGUAAAGCGUGCGCAGGCGGUUUUGUAAGUCUGUCGUGAAAGCCCCGGGCUCAACCUGGGAAUUGCGAUGGAGACUGCAAGGCUUGAAUCUGGCAGAGGGGGGUAGAAUUCCACGUGUAGCAGUGAAAUGCGUAGAGAUGUGGAGGAACACCGAUGGCGAAGGCAGCCCCCUGGGUCAAGAUUGACGCUCAUGCACGAAAGCGUGGGGAGCAAACAGGAUUAGAUACCCUGGUAGUCCACGCCCUAAACGAUGUCUACUAGUUGUCGGGUUUUAAUAACUUGGUAACGCAGCUAACGCGUGAAGUAGACCGCCUGGGGAGUACGGUCGCAAGNUUAAAACUUCAAAUUGAAAUUGACCGGNUUGNGAGNGCGAGACGACGACGAGGAGAGG